rnacentral:rRNA from 1 species
UACGUAGGGGGCUAGCGUUGUCCGGAAUCAUUGGGCGUAAAGAGCGUGUAGGCGGCCCGGUAAGUCCGCUGUGAAAGUCGGGGGCUCAACCCUCGAAUGCCGGUGGAUACUGUCGGGCUAGAGUGCGGAAGAGGAGUGUGGAAUUCCUGGUGUAGCGGUGAAAUGCGCAGAUAUCAGGAGGAACACCAAUGGCGAAGGCAGCACUCUGGGACGUGACUGACGCUGAGACGCGAAAGCGUGGGGAGCAAACAGG